rnacentral:RNase_P_RNA from 1 species
UGAGACCUCUUGAUGGCCGCGGCCGUGAUCUUCAUUGGGAUCGGCUGAGGAACUUCCGGGCUCCACAGAGCACGAUGGCGGAUAACGUCCGCCCAGGGCGACCUGAGAGAUAGCGCAACAGAGAACAGACCGCCCGUCCUCGACGGGUAAGGGUGAAACGGCGGUGUAAGAGACCACCGGGGACCUGGUAACAGGGACCGCAUGGCAAGCCUCAUCGGGAGCAAGGCCAAGCAGAUGACGGCAAGGGCUGCUCGCCCGUGUCAUCGGGUAGGCUGCUAGAGCCUGACGGCGACGUCAGGUCGAGAUGGAUGGCCAUCCGCGCGCGUUUCGGCGCGCGUGACAGAACCCGGGGUAUAAGAGGUCUCACUUU